rnacentral:rRNA from 2 species
AGAGUUUGAUCCUGGCUCAGGACGAACGCUGGCGGCGCGCCUAACACAUGCAAGUCGAACGAGCGAGAGAGAGCUUGCUUUCUCAAGCGAGUGGCGAACGGGUGAGUAACGCGUGAGGAACCUGCCUCAAAGAGGGGGACAACAGUUGGAAACGACUGCUAAUACCGCAUAAGCCCACGGCUCGGCAUCGAGCAGAGGGAAAAGGAGCAAUCCGCUUUGAGAUGGCCUCGCGUCCGAUUAGCUAGUUGGUGAGGUAACGGCCCACCAAGGCGACGAUCGGUAGCCGGACUGAGAGGUUGAACGGCCACAUUGGGACUGAGACACGGCCCAGACUCCUACGGGAGGCAGCAGUGGGGAAUAUUGCACAAUGGGGGAAACCCUGAUGCAGCGACGCCGCGUGGAGGAAGAAGGUCUUCGGAUUGUAAACUCCUGUUGUUGAGGAAGAUAAUGACGGUACUCAACAAGGAAGUGACGGCUAACUACGUGCCAGCAGCCGCGGUAAAACGUAGGUCACAAGCGUUGUCCGGAAUUACUGGGUGUAAAGGGAGCGCAGGCGGGAAGACAAGUUGGAAGUGAAAUCCAUGGGCUCAACCCAUGAACUGCUUUCAAAACUGUUUUUCUUGAGUAGUGCAGAGGUAGGCGGAAUUCCCGGUGUAGCGGUGGAAUGCGUAGAUAUCGGGAGGAACACCAGUGGCGAAGGCGGCCUACUGGGCACCAACUGACGCUGAGGCUCGAAAGUGUGGGUAGCAAACAGGAUUAGAUACCCUGGUAGUCCACACUGUAAACGAUGAUUACUAGGUGUUGGAGGAUUGACCCCUUCAGUGCCGCAGUUAACACAAUAAGUAAUCCACCUGGGGAGUACGACCGCAAGGUUGAAACUCAAAGGAAUUGACGGGGGCCCGCACAA